rnacentral:rRNA from 1 species
UACGUAGGGGGCAAGCGUUGUCCGGAUUUAUUGGGCGUAAAGAGCGUGUAGGCGGUCAGGUAGGUCCGUUGUGAAAACUCGAGGCUCAACCUCGAGACGCCGAUGGAAACCAUCUGACUAGAGUCCGGAAGAGGAGAGUGGAAUUCCUGGUGUAGCGGUGAAAUGCGCAGAUAUCAGGAAGAACACCCGUGGCUAAGGCGGCUCUCUAGUACGGUACUGACGCUGAGACGCGACAGCGUGGGGAGCAAACAGG